ensembl:lncRNA
GUAGUAUAUUUAUUCAUAAGUCUAUUAGUUUAUUUUCAUGUUAGAACAAGUACCUUGAUGGAGAGAAACUGACAUUUAAUUGAAGAAUAUGACCUUGAUUGCCAAGGUUCACUGCUAUGGAGCUGUCCUGGAUGGAACAGCAGUGUCUGAUUGCAAAAUACGGGGGGUACUCUCUUUAGAGAGUACCUCUCUUUAGGACCAUAGUUGAGAGGGUCCCUUGGGAGGUAGUUUUGGAGAGCAUGGGAGCCCAGGAAGGCUGGGAAUACUUUUAAGGAAGUUAUUUUAAAGGUGCAGGUACAGACCAUAGCCAAGUUCAGAAGAUGAGCUGAUGGGCAAGGAGGCCAGCCUGGAUGAACAGAGACCUUUGGCUGGAUCUCAAGAGCAAAAAGAAAGUUCAUGUUUUCCGGAAGAGUGGGCAAGAUACUUAGGAUGAUUACAGGUAUGUAGUGAAGCUGUGCAGUGAGAAAAUUAGAAAAGCCAAAGCCCAGCUAGAACUGAACUUGGCCACUAAGGUAAAAGACAACAAUAAAUAGUUCUAUGAAUACAUCAACAGCAAGAGGAGGGCUAGGGAGAGUCUCCAUCCUUGUUGGAUGCCGAGAGCAACUUGAUGACCAAGGAUCAGGAUAAGGCUGAGGUGCUUAAUGCCUUCUUUGCCUCAGUCUUUAAUAGUAAGACUUGUUACUCCCUGGGAACACAGCCUCCUGUGCUGGUAGAUAGGGAUGGGGAACAGAAUAGGCUCUGCAUGAUCCACGGUGAGAUGGUUUUGGACCUGCUCCAAAAGCUGAAUGCUCAUAAGUCCAUGGGGCUGGUUGGAUUGUACCCUAGAGUACUGAGGGAGUUGGCGGAUGUGGUUGCCAAGUCUCUCUCUUAUCAUCCUUCGGCAGUCCUGGCUAACCGGGGAUCUCCCAGCAGACUGGAGACUGGCAAAUGAGAUGCCCAUCUUCAAAAGGGGCAGGAAAGAUGAUCCUGCUAGCUACAGACUACCAGUCUCACCUCAGUGCCGGGAAAGGUUAUGAAACGGAUAAUCUCAGGAGCUGUCAGGGACCAGUUAAAGGUCAACCGGGGGAUCAGGUCCAGCCACCAUGGGUUUACAAAUGGUAGGUCCUGUUUGAUAAACCUGAUUUCAUUCUAUGACAAGGUGACCCACUUAGUGGAUGAAGGUAAGGCUGUUGAUGUGGUCUACCUGGACUUCAGUAAAGCCUUUGACACUGUCCCCCACAACACUCUUGUGGAGAAGCUGGCUGCCUACUAUUUGGAUGGGCGUAUGCUCUGCUGGGUGAAACACUGGCUGGAUGGCCGGGCCCAAAGAGUUGUGGUCAAUGGAUUUACAUCCAGUUGGUGGCUGGUCAUGAGCAGUGUCCCCCAGGGCUCAGUACUGGGGCUGCUUCUAUUUAACAUCUUUAUUAACGAUCUUAAUGAGGGGAUUGAGUGCACCCUCAGUAAGCCUGCAGAUGACACCAAGCUGGGAGGGAGUGUUGAUCUGCCUGAGGGGAGAAGGACACUACAGAGGGACCUGGACAGACUGGACAAGGUAAACUGUGUGUUUCAAGAGGGCCAAGUGUCAGGUCCUGCAUUUUGGUCACAACAACCCCAGGCAACCCUACAGGCUUGAGGAAGGAGUGGCUGGAAAGCUGCCUGAUGGAAAGGGACCUUGGUGUACUGAUGGACAGUCAGCUGAAUAUGAGCCAGCAGUGUGCCCAGGUUGUCAAGAAGGCCAAUGGCAUCCUGGCUUGUAUCAGGCAUGGUGUGGUGAGCAGGACUAGGGAAGUCAUCCUGCCCCUGUACUUGGCAUUGAUGAGGCCUCACCUCAAGUACUGUGUUCAGUUUUGGGCACCUGAAUAGAGAAAGGACACUGAGGUGCUGGAGCAGGUCCAAAGAAAGGCAGCAAGGCUGGUGAAGGGCUUGGAGAAUAUGCCCUAUGUAGAGAGACUGAAGGAACUGGGGCUGUUUAGUCUGGGGAAAAGGAGGCUGAGGGGAGACCUUAUUGCUCUCUUCCAAUAUCUGAAAGGUGCCUACAGUGAGAACAGGGCUGGUCUCUUCUCACUGGUGACAGGACAAGGGGAAAUGACCUCAAGUUGCACCAGGUUAAGUUUAGGUUGGGUAUCAGGAAAAGCAACUUUACAGAAAGGGUUGUUAAGCACUAAAAUAGGCUCCGCAGGGAGGUGGUUGUGUCACCAUCCCUGGAUGUGUUUAAAAACCAUUUGGAUGUGGUGCUCAGGGACAUGAUUUAGCGGAGGGUUGUUAGAGUUAGGCUAGUAUGGCUAGAUCAUGGUUGGAUUUGAUGAUCUUUAAGGUCUUUUCUAUGAUUCCUUGAGAUCUGUGGUGGUUCUUCUUUCCAUAGUUGCCAUUUUACUCUUCUGGAACUGCAUGAAAGCUUCUGAAAAACAGUUUUACCUACACUGUCUUCAUCCUUUUGCUUUACAUAAUAUUCUAGUAUGCCUGAGACUCAAUAAAUAAAGUAAGAAGCAGCAGAAAUAUAAAACAUGCUUGCAGUGAUCAGUAUCAUGUAAGCAAUAUGCUAUAUGUAGUGUAGCAUACCCUUUGAACUUAUAACAUCUUUGUGCACAAGAAUCAUAUUGCUAUGGUAUAGGCAAAACAUGACAAAUGUGAUUAAUGGAGGCCAAGACAUAAUUUUAGGGGAUGAAAAGGAGUCAGUGAGACAGCUGGAGAAGUCAAAAAGCAUGAGUUUUGCCAGAUAGGCUCUAAGGAAUCCUCCCUAAAGCCGCACCAGGAGCUGUGAAUAUCUUUGCUGGAAGACAAGAUUUUGAGUAUAUAGCAGCAGUCUUUUUCAAUCAUCUUCCACACUGCCAACCACAGGAAUUAAAAAAUCAUGAUUCAGACACCAAGACAACUUGGAACUGACUCACACUUGAUGGUAUCUGGAAAAAUAGGGUUUUAUACAUCUUACUGAGCCUCUAGGUACUUUCAUGAUCCCUUUUCCUUCAGAUUUCUUCAAGGAUCUUGGUUUCAUUAAAAUAAAAAGAAGAGUAUUUUGUGAUCCCCUAAGUUCUAAGAAAACUUCAGAUUACUGAAAGCUGAAGGCAGCAUGAAGGGAUCCACGCAGGCCUGACUCCUGACUCCGAAUUAGUUAAUCCUUAAGCAGAUAGCUCAUGGAAAGGGAAGGAAUAAGGCUGUGAAAAUAGCAGGUAGGGAAAGGAUGCUCAUUUGGAGGGCAUAAAAUUGUCUAUUGCUCUUCCUCCACAAAUUUUAUCACUGGGUGAACAAAGGUUGAAGAGUCAGACGAUCGUGCUGCAACAUCUCUAACACAUUCAGACUUCUACUGCAUAGUUUGAAUCAAUCUAGCAAACCCUGAAUUAUGUGAAAACUUAUUGUCAUGACAAAGACUAUAAAAAAUGGAAAAUGAGACAAUUAAAGACCCCGUGACAAAUUUUAUAACGAGUAUAGAAAAUAACACAAAGGUAAUCCAUAGUAUUAUCUUUUCAAGGUUCUUCUUAGAUGUUGUAAAUAGGGUUUAUAGUACUAGUUAUUUUUUUAGCUACUUUGUCAUCAAUCACCCCAAGCCAUUACUAAACUGUUACUUAUCUGAUGACAGGUAAAACGAAACUUUAUUGCUGAUAUUACUGAAGUUUUAUGGCUGAGCAUCAAGAGCUCAAUAGUAGCCAAAGAGGGAGAGGGGGGAAAAAACCUGCAAACUUUGUUAAAAUACUCAGUUGAAAUUUUUAGUUUAGAAUCAUAGAAUUGUUCAGGUUGGAAGGGAUCUUAAAAAUCAUCCAUUUCCACCUCCCCCCUGCCCCACACCCGUUCUGUCAUGAACAGGUUUGCCAGCCACUAGAUCAGGCUGCCCAGAGCCGUAUCCAACCUGGUCUUGAACACCUACAGGUGUUCACUCACCUACAGCUUCUCUGGGAAGCCUGUGCGAGUGCUUCCCCACCCUCUGAGUAAAGAAUUUAUUCCUUACAUCAAUUCUAAGCCUAUCUUCUUUUUAGAGAAACUGUUAACCCUUGUCCUAUUAUAUUCCCAUAUAAAAAAUGCCUCCCCAUCUUUCCCAUAGACCUCUAGUACUUAAAUACUGGAAGGCCUCUUUAAGUUCUCUUCUUUAGUCUUAAGACUUCUUUAGGCUGAAUAACCACAGUUCUCUCUGUCUUUAUAGGAAGAGUGCCCCAGCCCUCUGAUCUUCUUCAUGUCUCUCCUAUGGACCCAGGCUAACAGGCCCAUGUUUUUCUUAUGCUGGAGAUCCCUGAGUUGAAUACAAAACUCUAAAUGAGGUCUCCCAAAAGCAGAGUAAAGGAGAAGAAUCACUCUCAGUUGUAUUUCCUUUCAUGUAGUCCAGGAUAUGCUUGGCUUUCUUGUCUAUAAGUGCACUUUGCUAGCUCAUGUUGACCUUUUUAAACAUGUGUACUCCCAAGUCAUUCUCCACAGUUCUGCUCUUCACCCAUGUGUUUCCUAGCCUGCAUUCAUGCUCCAAAUUGCCCUGACCCACGUGCAAGACCUAUCACUUGGACUUGUUGAAAUACACGUUUUUCUUACAGGCCCAUCUCUUGAGCCUGUCAAGGUCCUUCUGGAUGUCAUCCCUUUCCUCCAUCAUGUUGACUGCACCUCUAGGCCUGGUGUCACCUACAAACUUGUGGAAAGUGCACUCAAUCCCCCUGUCUGUGUCACCAACAAAGAUGUUAAAUUAUGCUAUUCCUAGUACAAACCCCUGAGGAGCAUCCCUUGUCACUGGCCUCCACCUGUGCAUUCAGCUGCCAACCGUAACUCUUUGAGUGCAAACAUCCAGCCAGUUCCUUAUUCACCAAGUGAUCCAUUCAUCAAAUUAAUGUAUCCAGGCAGAUGAUGUCAGUUACUCUUUCCUUAUCCACCAACAGUAUAACCCCGCCGUAGAAGGUCACGAAUUUGUCAGGCAUUAUGUGCCCUAAGUGAAGCCAUUCUAGCUGUCACCAAUCAACUCUUUGUUAUCCAUAUGCCUUAUCAUAGUUUUAGAAGGAUCCACUCCAGGCACAGAAGUGUGGCUGACUGGUUUGUAGUUCCCUGAGUCUUCUUUUUUCCCCUUUUUGAAAAUGGGGGCUAUGUUUUCACUUUCCAGUUAGUGGGAACUUCUGGCUUCUGAAAUAUGAGAAGUGGCUUAGCAACUUCAUCCACCACUCCCAUUGGAUGCAUCUUGUCAGGUCCCAUCAACAUGUGCAACUCCUUAGGUUGAUUUGAACUUGACCUUCUCCUAGAGUAGGCAGUAUUUUAUUCUCCCAGUCUCUGCUUUUGCAUUCUGUGACUUUAGUGGUGUGGCUAGAACAAUUUCUGGUGAAGACUGAAGCAAAAAAUUGUUGAGUAGCUGUCUCCUCCAUAUUCAUAUCCCAGGUAACCAGGUCUGCAAUUUCUUUUGGAGAGGAUGCAUGUUUUCUGAAGUUUUCCUUUCAGCAUAGAUGUGUUUAUAGAAGCCCUUCCUCUUGUCUUGACAUCCCUGGCUAGACUAAAAUCUAUCUGGACUAUAGUUUUCCUAAUUUGAUGCUUGGCUGCUUGGGGGUGAGGUUGCUCACUCUUCUUUUGUUCUCAUGGUAGGUUUCUGUUUGUUUGUUUGUUUGUUUGUUUGUUUUUGUUUUUGUUUUGCUUGAAUCCUUUGAACUGACAAAGGGAAGGAAAGGAAAAAAGAGAAGAUAAUUGACCUUCUAGUUGUCAUUCAUGACUGACAGCUUUUUUGGUUGUAUGUUGGUUAUAUUGAAGCAAUCAUUUUGUUGUAUUGCCCUCUGACACCAAGAGAAACAUAGAUUUCAGGUGACUAUUUUGUUAUGAUGGAUGUAUAAUUAUUUUUAUUUAGGUUUCUAGCAUGUGCAGGAAAAUGUUACAGGACCUAACUAUCAAUAAUUUGAAAUUAAGAUAUUUUUAUGCCACUAAUCGUUAUUAUUAAACUACAGAUUUCUGCAAGAAUCCUGUUUCUUUGUUUAUAACUGUUAACUUUGAUAACAGUUACUAAGCAGAUAGUUGUGUCUCAAACAUAGAUAACACAGAGAAAAACAAUGAAUAUAAUUGUGCCACAAAGUAAAGAAGAAUCCUGAAUUUGUGAAUUGUACUAAACACCAUUGAAAUGGAGGCAAAUUGCUAAUUAAAUCUAUCUAGGUAUAUCUGUUGGUGAUGGAUUCUUCAAAAUACAUUUUGUCCAAUCUUAUGGUCUAGUUCAGCAUGAAAUGAAGCUGGCUGAAUUUCACCAUAGUCUUUCCCUAAAAACAUAAAUUUUAAAUAUACUGCAAUUUUAUUUUUGUAUCAUAUUUUUUUUCUUUGAAUAAAGAAGACCAAAAAUCAAUCAUAUGUAUAUCUGGGAUUUAGCUACUUCAGAUAGAGGUCAACUGAAUAAAAGCUGGCUUGCUAUUAAAGAAAAUCUACAAUGCCAAGGUAAAUGUUUUAAGCAAGCAGUUUUUAAAAUACUGAUUUUAAUAAGAUGUGUGACCCUGAUGCUUGUUAUUUAGUCUUGCACAUCUUGCUAACAUUAGCUUUUCUAAACUUGGCCAGCAGAGAAGCUACCAUUAUUUGCUUCAGCAGCAGAAGUACAUAUUAAGUUUCUUCGUAUAGCAAUUUCUCAGCAACCUGAAGUUCUGUUCUUCUGCCUGACCCAGUUACAAGAUCAGCAUUCUAUUAUAUCUUGUUGAAAAUUAAAAGUCUUUUACUGCCUCAUUCUAGAAUUCCGAAUUUUAGCAAUUGUAGUUGUUCCUUUGUAAUUUACCAGUGAUAUGUAUAUAUGACAUGAUAUAGUCCUUAAAAUGUCUCUUCCCUUUGUUGUCUGUUGCAUCUGAAGGUGUGCAAACAGAAAAUACCAAAUGGAGAGGCUGUAUGAAAAUCAGUAUGUGCAGAAGACAACAAACCUUACAGUGCUUCAAGUAUCCGCAGGAGCUGAAAUGGAAUUAUUAUUGGAAAAGGUAAUCUGAAAGACAGAAUCAUAGAAUUAUAGAAUCAUAGAAUGGCCUGGGUUGAAAAGGACAACAAUGAUCACCUAGUAUCAACUCCUUGACACAGGCAGGGUCGCCAACCACCAGACCAGGCUGCCCAGAGCCAUAUCCAGCCUGGCCUUGAAUGCCUUCAGGGAUGGGGCAUCCACAACCUCCUUGGGCAACCUGUUCCAGUGUGUCACCACCCUCUGAGUGAAAAACUUCCUCCUAAUAUCUACCCUAAACCUCCCCUGUCUCAGUUUAAUAUCAUUCCCCCUUGUCCUAUCAGUAUCCACCCUCGUAAACAGCCUUUCCCCCUCCUGUUUGUACUCUCCCUUCAAGUAUUGGAAGGCCACAAUGAGGUCUCUCCGGAGCCUUUUCUUCUCCAAGCUAAGUCAGAAGAGAAGUCCUCAGCACAGAGAAACAGAUUCAUAUUUUGUCCCCAGUAAGGAAUGCACUAAAGAUAAUUUCUAAGAAAAUCAACCCAGUAAGCGCGUUGAUUCUGGAUGAAUAUCAUAGGUGUUUUGCAGUAAUGUUAGUCCAAGCUUAUGACAAGUUAAUGCCUUUGGAACGGCAUUUAUUUCUAAUGGCUUCUCAGAGUAUGUUUCUGUCAGUCACCUUAUGGGUCAGCAGAGUUUGCCUCAGUUUUCUGCUUCCUACAAGCAGGGUGCAAAGGCAAAGAUUACUUCCUCCCUGAAAUUUUGCAGCAUGUGUUCUCUUUGCAGUCUGGCAACAUUUGUGCAUGAGCUUAUUGCCGACAUGCACUAUAGGACAGAAACUCACCAAGAUUUUGUUUAGAACCUCUUUUAUUUCUAAUACCAGGUGAAGUAAAAUGAAGGAAAAUAUCUUUAGCAAGACCAAAUAUUGUGCUUUUCAUUAUGAGACCAGGCAUAAGGGAGGCUGUGAUUAUGAGGAAUAAUGAAACAGCUUUUUUUUUUUUUUUUUUUUUUUUUUUUUUUGCUUUAAUUUACAUUUAAACCUAGAAUUUCUUUCUACUUGUGUUUUUAUUACCCUUUAUCUACAGGCUGUCAGACUUAGCUGCUACAGCCAGAAACCUGGAAUUCCUACAAGUCAUCCUGCCUUGUCAUGACUUCCAAAGGGCUCAGUAACUCCAUCUUCCUCUAUACUUUCUUUCUAUUGAUUUGUAGAGGAAAAAGUGGUGACAUUGAUUUGGAUAAAAAUGAAAAUAUUUCUGAUGGCACCAUGUGGAGUCAGACAAUUUGGGCACUUAAAAUGAUUGCCCUUGUUCAAUCUGACCUGCUCAGACAGGGAUCUGUGUGUGCAUGUGUCUUUGCCUGCUUCUUAUAUCUGCAAAUGGCUCUUUUUGGAAGUCUUGAGUGUGUGAAGGGUUUUCCCCCUUGCUCUCUGUCAGCUUUUUCCUCUUUCCUCACUGCCCUGACUGGAUAGUUAAUUUUGAAGUCCUGCAGCUAAAUUGUGGUUAAGGCUAUUACAUGAAACUUCCUCAGAUGUGCAUGUGUGCUGUGCACACAUACUACUGUGUGUUUAUAGUCCCUGCAAAGACUCCAGAUUACUGAUAAAGAGAGUAUAAAAAAGUGUUCAUAUGUGGACAUGCCAGUACAAGCAAGUUUUUUCUGUCCUUAUCUCUGCCUUUCUCUGUUUUAACUGUCAUUGCCAUGUUUAAUAAUUAAGUACAGAUUUAAAUGUUUCUGUUAGUGUGUUCUUAUGAAAGUGCUUGCGGUCUUCCCAGCUGAUGCACAUUUCCAAGAGUUUACAGUAGCACUGUGUGGGUCACAGGUGUUGGUUGGAAGAUAGAUCUGAAGAUGAUCUAAUGCAACCUUCUGCUCACUAUGUGCUAUCGCCAACAGUGGAGCACGUCAGCCAGGGCUUUGUUUCACUGAGUGCUGAAGACCUCUCUGGAUUGAUGUUGCCUCUAAGAAUUUUUUUCUCCUAAUGCUCGUCUUGAAUGUCCCAAACAAUGACCUACAGCCCUUGUCCUUUCUUAUUCGCUGCUACUGACAGAAGUUUGGCUCCAUCACCUGCAUAGUAUCUCUUCUAGUAGUUGCGGGUUGCUUGAUCACCCCUAAAUCUCCUCUUUACCACACUAAAUGAAGUAAACUCCCUAAAUCUUCAUAAACUGUAGGUCUCUGACCAGAUUUGUUGUUGUCUACUAUAAUCUAGGGAUCCCUCUUCAGUUUCACCAUGUCACUUCUACGCUGGGGGAACACGCACUAGGCACUGCAUUCUGGGCGCAGCCUCCUCACCCAAGCAGUGUGCAGGGCACGUUGCUCCUAAUACAAUCAAGGAUGUUUUCAUCUUACUUACGGUGAGCUACACUCUUCAUUCAUAUUGAUAGUGUCUUCUGAAAAUUAGUUUGGCAUUAAAGUUCAGCAGGGCUGUCCGUUGGACAGUUACAACUUGACUUGCAAUGAUAUAUAGAGUUAUUUAACCAUGAACAGAACCUUGCAGUUUUUCUUAAUGAACUUCAGGAGAUUUUUGUUGGCCCAGUCCUCAAAUUUAUCAGGGAGCUUCUGGAUCAAAGCUCAGCCAUUCACUGUGUCAGCACUCCUCUCCAAAUUUAUUUGCAGAUUUGCUGAGGAUGCAAUCUGUGUCAUUGUCCACAUUAUUGAAGAAGAUGUUGAAAACUCCAGUAUUGAUCCCUGGGGUAUGUUGCUUGUUACUGGACACCAGCCAUAUGUUGAAGCAUUGAUCACUGCUUUUUGGGCAUGCUAGUACAGUAUUCAACACACUUGACUGUCCAGUCUGCACAGUAUUGCAAUUUAUAUAAUGUACUCUCUCCUUGGGGAUAUUUUUUCCCCAAUUUUAGAACAGAUAGCAACGUGGAAAUAUCAACAACUUAAAAUGUAGCAUGUGUGGCCAGUGAUGAAUUCUGUGACCAUGUGGAUCUCAUGCUCUAUUCAGCACAGUUCUGGUUAAUCUGGGGGCCGAGUAACAAUGCCACUUUAAAGCAAGCAUUAUAGAAGAAGAUACUCUUCUUAAUUUUCUGCUAAAAAAAAUAUUGCUAGCUGUCAAAAUAGGUACCCAUUUUCAUGGAACUUUGGGCUCUGAUAAGGUGAAUAGAAGCUUAUCUGCGCAUGUAGGGUUAUAUAUACUUUAUCCUAAAAUCAUUAUGCUUAAUAUGAGCAAACACAUCACGUUACAUGGCUAUCUUGUGACAAUGAUGUAGAAAUGUAGAUGAAAGUAAAAGUUAUUAAGAUUCAGAGAUGAAUGACAGACAUCAUAGCUAACUAAUAUCUGCAG